rnacentral:rRNA from 1 species
UAGGGAAUAUUAGAAAUGGACGAAAGUCUGAUCUAGCAACACCGCGUGUGCGAAGAAGGCCUUCGGGUCGUAAAGCACUUUUUGGAAGGAAUAGGAAGGAAUGUACUUCCAGAAUAAGUCUCGGCUAACUACGUGCCAGCAGCCGCGGUAACACGCAGGAGGCGAACGUUAUCCGGAUUUACUGGGCGUAAAGCGCGUGUAGGUGGUACUGUAAGUAGGGCGUGAAAGCUCCUGGCUCAACUGGGAGAGGCCGUUCUAAACUACAGAACUAGAGGAUGGUAGAGGGAGGUGGAAUUCCAGGUGUAGCGGUGAAAUGCGCAGAUAUCUGGAGGAACACCGGUGGCGAAGGCGGCCUCCUGGACCAUUCCUGACACUCAGACGCGAAAGCUAGGGUAGCAAACGG